ACACCGGCAGCUCAAGUGGUAGCCGCUUUUAUUGGGCCUAAAGCGUCCGUAGCCGGUCUGAUAAGUCUCUGGUGAAAUCCCGCAGCUUAACUGUGGGAAUUGCUGGAGAUACUAUCAUGACUCGAGGUCGGGAGAGGCUGGAGGUACUCCCAGGGUAGGGGUGAAAUCCUGUAAUCCUGGGAGGACCACCUGUGGCGAAGGCGUCCAGCUUGAACGACCCGGACGGUGAGGGACGAAAGCCGGGGGCGCGAGCCGGAUUAGAUACCCGGGUAGUCCUGGCCGUAAACGAUGUGGACUUGGUGUUGGGAUGGCCUCGAGCUGCCCCAGUGCCGAAGGGAAGCUGUUAAGUCCACCGCCUGGGAAGUACGGUCGCAAGACUGAAACUUAAAGGAAUUGACGGGG
rnacentral:rRNA from 1 species